rnacentral:sRNA from 1 species
CACCGCCUGGGGAGUACGACCGCAAGGUUAAAACUCAAAUGAAUUGACGGGGACCCGCACAAGUAGUGGAGCAUGUGGUUUAAUUCGAAGAUACGCGCAGAACCUUACCAACACUUGACAUGUUCGUCGCGACUCUAAGAGAUUAGAGUUUUCGGUUCGGCCGGACGAAACACAGGUGCUGCAUGGCUGUCGUCAGCUCGUGUCGUGAGAUGUUGGGUUAAGUCCCGCAACGAGCGCAACCCUCACUUUUAGUUGCCAUCAUUUAGUUGGGCACUCUGAAAGAACUGCCAGUGAUAAGCUGGAGGAAGGUGGGGAUGACGUCAAGUCCUCAUGGCCCUUACGUGUUGGGCUACACACGUGCUACAAUGGCAUUUACAAUAGGAAGCAAGAUGGCGACAUCAAGCAAAUCCUAAAAAAAUGCCUCAGUUCGGAUUGUACUCUGCAACUCGAGUACAUGAAGCUGGAAUUACUAGUAAUCGCGGAUCAGCGCGCCGCGGUGAAUGCGUUCCCGGGUCUUGUACACACCGCCCGUCACACCAUGGGAGUUGGUUCUACCUUAAGGCAAAGUUUAAAACCUUUGACCACGGUAUAGUCAGCGACUGGGGUGAAGUCGUAACAAGGUAGCCGUAGGGGAACCUGCGGCUGGAUUACCUCCUUUCUAAGGAUGAUUAAGGAUUAUUUCUUAAUCUAAAUAUUUAACAGGUUAAUGUUGACCGUCCUCAUUUCUCUUCUUAAAAGUAGUGUUUCUCUUUACUGCAUAAGGGCCGGUAGCUCAGUUGGUUAGAGCACACCCUUGAUAAGGGUGGGGUCGAAAGUUCGAGUCUUUCUCGGCCCACCAAAUUAAUGGGGGAUUAGCUCAGCUGGGAGAGCGCCUGAUUUGCAUUCAGGAGGUCAGCGGUUCGAUCCCGCUAUCCUCCACCAAGAAACACUUAGUUAUUUUAUUUGUGAAUAUUUUUUAAUUAUUAUCAAUAUCUAUAUCCGAUUGUUCGAAUAGAUGAACAAUCAUGAAUGUUCAAAUAGAUGAACAUUCCAACAAAAUUUGAUUCAACACAGAAUUUUUUUCUG